rnacentral:tRNA from 3 species
GCGGGGUAGCUCAGCUGGUCAGAGCGCACGACUCAUAAUCGUGAGGUCGCGGGUUCGAGCCCCGCCCCCG